rnacentral:rRNA from 1 species
AACGUACGCUGGCGGCACNCCUAACACAUGCAAGUCGAACGAAGUAGCAAUACUUAGUGGCAGACGGGUGAGUAACAUGUAGGUAUCUGCCCUUUGGCCUGGAAUAACACGAGGAAACUUGUGCUAAUACCGGAUAAGUCUAUACGGAGAAAGCUUUAUGCACCAUUGGAUGAGCCUGCACUUGAUUAGUUUGUUGGUGGGGUAAUGGCCUACCAAGACUGUGAUCAAUAGCUGAUUUGAGAGGAUGAUCAGCCACAUUGGGACUGAGACACGGCCCAAACUCCUACGGGAGGCAGCAGUGGGGAAUCUUGCACAAUGGAGGAAACUCUGAUGCAGCGAUGCCGCGUGAGUGAAGAAGGCCCUUGGGUUGUAAAGCUCUUUCGUCGGGGAAGAAAAUGACUGUACCCGAAUAAGAAGGUCCGGCUAACUUCGUG